UACGGAGGGGACUAGCGUUGUUCGGAAUUACUGGGCGUAAAGCGCACGUAGGCGGAUUUGUAAGUUAGGGGUGAAAUCCCGGGGCUCAACCUCGGAACUGCCUUUGAUACUGCAAAUCUCGAGUCCGGAAGAGGUGAGUGGAAUUCCUAGUGUAGAGGUGAAAUUCGUAGAUAUUAGGAAGAACACCAGUGGCGAAGGCGGCUCACUGGUCCGGUACUGACGCUGAGGAGCGAAAGCCAGGGGAGCAAACGGG
rnacentral:rRNA from 1 species